ACUCUGCACUGGAGGAAAGGACAGCAUCAAUUAUUGCAAGUCCCCAUCAAACAAACAGCUAAGAAGCAGCUUGUUGGAACCAAAUUUGUUCUAAGCUGUCGGCAUCAAUCAUGAGCAGAUUGUUUUGUCAGAGCACACAGCAGGAUGCGUGUUGGACGUCAAUCAGAGGAAUGUUCUUAUAGCUGCUUGUAAGGAAAUUCUUUCAGAUGUGAAAGUUGUGACUGAUGGGGGAAGAUAAGAAAGUCAGAGGCAUAUACAGAAUAAAUUGCACGUUCUUCUGUUUUCUGUAAGGAGCUACGAUACAUGUUGGAAUGGUAAACUGACAUUCUCUUGACGUUCCAGGCUAGAGCCACCAGCAUCAGACUGUCCCCUGGAUAUAAAUAAUGUUUUCUACAGAGUGAAAGGAGCUCCACAAAGAGGUACUGACAGAGAUCAACCACAGAAUUGCUGACAGCCUGGUGUUUGUAUUUGAUGGUGGAUUAUGAAGUUCAGA
rnacentral:lncRNA from 1 species